AUUGAACGCUGGCGGCAGGCUUAACACAUGCAAGUCGAGCGGGGUGAUGGUGCUUGCACUAUCACUUAGCGGCGGACGGGUGAGUAAUGCUUAGGAAUCUGCCUAUUAGCGGGGGACAACAUCUCGAAAGGGAUGCUAAUACCGCAUACGUCCUACGGGAGAAAGCAGGGGAUCACUUGUGACCUUGCGCUAAUAGAUGAGCCUAAGUCGGAUUAGCUAGUUAGUGGGGUAAAGGCCUACCAAGGCGACGAUCUGUAGCGGGUCUGAGAGGAUGAUCCGCCAAACUGGGACUGAGACACGGCCCAGACUCCUACGGGAGGCAGCAGUGGGGAAUAUUGGACAAUGGGGGGAACCCUGAUCCAGCCAUGCCGCGUGUGUGAAGAAGGCCUUAUGGUUGUAAAGCACUUUAAGCGAGGAGGAGGCUCUUUUGGUUAAUACCCAAGAUGAGUGGACGUUACUCGCAGAAUAAGCACCGGCUAACUCUGUGCCAGCAGCCGCCGUAA
rnacentral:rRNA from 1 species